rnacentral:lncRNA from 1 species
AUGCUGCUCUGUGUCUCAUCUCCAUCUUUGUGGUUUUCAGGGCUCAAAAAGACAAGGGUACAGCUGACCCGACGUAGUGAUGGUUCAAGGCGUGGUCAAAGGCAUGCAGUAGAUGACCGUGGUCAUCGUUUCAACCAGCAUUUCUAUCUCUUCUCCAUUAAGCUGGACAAAGUCAGGCACAAGGACCAAGAUGAGAGAAAAGCAAGGACCUGGAGAAGUCGAGGACGUUUGCACCUCUGCCUGCAUGCCCUGAGCAGAGCAGCCACUGAAGAAAUCCAGCAUUCCUUUUUUCUCCAUGCAGAACAACAAGCCGUGCCUUCAGAUGUCUUUCAGGCUAGCAUGAAGGAUUCUGUAUCCACAUAAAGCAAUCUUUUAUCACAAAAAAACUCUACAACAAAUGCCAAGCCAGAAGUCCUGGAAGAGCUUCAUGCAGUGCUGCUGUACUUUGACAUUAGCCCAAGUCACAGGGAUGAGCAAACGUGGGGAAAAGAAGCCCAGCAACAGAAAUUGAACUUGUGAAGUCUCAAAGUACCGACAGAGCUCUGAGCCGGUGACUCUAACUUCAUCCACACACAUUUGAAAGUUGGGGGGUAAACUAAAAAAUCAGUCUUGAAGGCUGCUUACAAGUCUCAGGGAGAACGCAAGCUUCUAGAGGCAAUGCUUUAAUCUCCAAUAUCAGGCAGUGGGAGAGGGCAUAUUUUGGAACAGUUUUGGAAAGCUAAGUUUUGCAAUCUAAAAUAAAUUUAAGCCUAAUCCUUUAGUCUCA